rnacentral:ncRNA from 1 species
CAGCCAGGGGAGCGAUUGCUGAGACUGAAUUCCCGAAAACGUUUUGGGGGUUCUGACCCUUACUACCUGACCCGGAUAAUACCGGCGGAGGGAGGCGGAGUAU